GAGAGACUCACUUAGUGCUGGCCGGGGGGAUGCUGCUCACGAAGUUGUGUAUGGAGUGGUAAGAAAGGCCCACGAGGGUGGUCCAGGCUGGGGACAGAGCAGAGCCGGGACAUCGUCACACAUGGAAGGAGCAGAGGGAGCCAGGCAGCCCUCAGUGAGACUGCCUUGGUGAACAAGGACUGAAAGCAACACAUGCCCAGCGAGGCCAGCACUGCGGGAGCUGGGGCUGAGGCCCAGGCAAGCGCUCCGCCAGGAGACCCUGCUCCUCAUGUCCAGCCAGCUGGGAGAUACGAAGACCCCACAGCUACAGCUCUGCAGGCUUGCGGACCUGAGAAGACCCUGAAAAAUGACACAGCUUACAAAGCAGGUGCACCCUGGCCUGGAGGUGACCACGGGCAGCCACACUGCCUCCAAGGUUGCCCUCUGGGCAGCUGAGAUUCUGGCCGUGGCCGCUGUGUAAACCAUGGCUGUGGCUGCUCCCAUGGAAGACACAGAGCAGGAGGCCAUACGUCAGCCUCCCGUGACACCUGCUACCCUGGUAACGCCAGCAACCCCUGACUCUGAGACCACUUCUCUGCUAUGCAUGCAGACACUGAGGGACAGGUGCCUGCAUCUCUGAGAACCAUGCAUGUGGCCCUGUGUCCGGCUCCCUGUCCAGCUCCUGCUCCCACGGGUGACGCUGGAGCCAACAGUGGGCCCAGCACCCCUGGCCCCCUUCACCACCACCCACCACCGACCACGGCCACCUGCCACAGGAGAGGAGCCCUCGAGGGUGAUCUCGGGCCUGCGGCCAUGCAGCUUCAGAGACACAUGGCCCAGGACAACGUCGAUGGUGUUGAUGAGGCCAGACACCAAGGCCUUGUCCUAGAAAGAGAAGCAGCAUGAGGCCUCUUUGCCAUGCGCUGGCCCAAGGCCAGGAGGGCCCAGUGGACGCUGCCACUGCAUGGCCAGGACCCCAGUCACGUGUCUCUGUCAUCCGUGGGGCGCAAGUCACCCUCAGACUCACAGGACGAGGAUCCACCUCUGCCCCCAGGCUGCCUGCCCCUCCCCGGCCCCUGAAAGACACUGUCUACAGACACCAGGGCCAAGCCGGCCUUCUCCUGGGGCUCUGACCUGGCUUCCACCACCAAGGGGAACUCAGCACGGGCUGCUUGCCGACGUGUGCUGGGGGUGGGCAGCUGUACACGCACUCUGUGACCCACACCGGAGCCUGCCGGCUCCAAGGCUUUGGCACUGCUUACGUGAGGCCAGGUUUGAAUAUUUUGCAUUCAAAACCAGAAGCCCAUCUGCCCAAGUGCCCCGCAGGCCGCCUCGGGGACUUGGGGGACAAACUCCCUCCAAAUCCCAAGCUCCUUCUUAAAGGAGCAUGGUUUCUAGGUACAACUGCGUCACAAUUACACUCCGGACAUGUUCCUCUCGCUUAACCCUAACCACACCCCGUGGGAAGCUCUUCCAUUGCAAAGGUUGUCAGCAGGAAACUGCCACACAAGCGUGUUACUGAAGCAGGUGGAGAGGAGAUGCCCGCACCCCACUCUCCUGCUCCGCCUCUGUUUGCACCUUGGGAGCCACAGAGGGCAGCGGCAGAGAGACAGAGCCAGGGUUCCGGGGUGCAGAGCUGCAGGACGUGGAGUCUGCCGUGACCACAGCUCAGCCCCACUCUCCUAACCAACAGGGCACUGCAGUCCAGUGCUCCACGUCCCAGUGGCCUUGACGGGACUGGGGGCCCGGGUCAGCCAGGCCUGCGACAUGUUUGCAGAACCCGUCUGCGUCCGUGUGGACUGAACCCCAGGCCCCAGGGGCUGCGUGGUGGCUGGGAGCCAUCUGUGCCCGGCAUCCCGAUUUCUGGUGACUUUAUUCUCCUUAUGUCUUUAUUCCCAGCUUUUCCACAGCCAUUUGUUGACUGGUGUUACUGUGAAAUCAGCAUUUCAGAAUGAAGUCCUUAAUUCCCUCGAA